rnacentral:rRNA from 1 species
UACGAAGGGGGCAAGCGUUGUUCGGAAUUACUGGGCGUAAAGGGCGCGUAGGCGGUGCUCUAAGUCUGUCGUGAAAGCCCCGGGCUUAACCUGGGAAUUGCAUUUGAGACUGCACGGCUAGAGUGUGUCAGAGGGGGGUAGAAUUCCACGUGUAGCAGUGAAAUGCGUAGAGAUGUGGAGGAAUACCGAUGGCGAAGGCAGCCCCCUGGGAUAACACUGACGCUCAUGCACGAAAGCGUGGGGAGCAAACAGG